AUUGAACGCUGGCGGCAUGCCUUACACAUGCAAGUCGAACGGUAGCACGGGUCCUUUUGCUUUUUCGCUAGUGGCUAGCGGGUGAGUAAUACAUCUGAACAUGUCCUGCUGUUGGGGGUAGCUCGCUGCUAGCCGCGUUAAUUCCUCCCACGUACCGCCGCUGAACCCGAGGGGCCUUCCGUCCUCCCUCUUUCCGUUUGGCCUGGCGGGGAUUAGCUAGUUGGUGGGGUAAAGGCCUACCAAGGCGACGAUCAGUAGCUGGUCUGAGAGGACGACCAGCCACACUGGAACUGAGACACGGCCCAGACUCCUACGGGAGGCAGCAGUGGGGAAUAUUGGACAAUGGGCGAAAGCCUGAUGCAGCAAUGCCGCGUGUGUGAAGAAGGCCUUCGGGUUGUAAAGCACUUUUGGCCGGGAGGAAAGCAGUAGAGCUAAUACGGUCGGGGAAUGACGGUACCGGAAGAAGAAGCACCGGCUAACUACGUG
rnacentral:rRNA from 1 species